GACGAACGCUGGCGGCGUGCUUAACACAUGCAAGUCGAACGGACAGGCGCGGCUUUUGUGGCGUGCUCGUGAGGCGCGCGGGUGAGUAACACGUGUGUAACCUGCCCUUAACUUUCUGAUAUAUUUACGAAACUGGGGCUAUAAUCGCAUAGGAGCUCCUGCUCCAUGGGGGGGGUUGGAAAAUGUCGGCGGUGUUGGAUGGACUAGAGGUUUCUGCGCUUGUUGGUGGGGGAGUGGCUGACCACGGUUGUGACGGGUAGGCGGCCGUGGAGGUGGACCGGCCACCAUGGGACUGAGAUACGGCCCAGAAGCCUACGGGAGGCAGCAGUGGGGAAUAUUGCACAAUGGGGGGAAGCCUGAUGCAGCAACGCCGCGGGCGGGAUGACGGCCUUCGGGGGGUAAACCGCUGUCUCCUUUGACGAAGCGUGAGUGACGGUAACUGAUAAAGAAGCACCGGCUAACUACGUG
rnacentral:rRNA from 1 species